GUUGGGGCCGUAGGCUCAUUCCUGUGUGGACGGAAGGGGCCUGGGGCUUGAACCCGAGUCCCAGUUCACGUGCUGUGUAGGCGGGUACGUCGCAGCAGGGAACAGCCGGGGCCUGCGAGCGCUCUGCCCCUCCCCCCACCUCCCGCAUGGAGCAUCCCCCAGAUCCGGGGGAUUGUUCUACUGACAAGAUCUGCCAGGCAAGCUUGGAAUCUGGAAGUUCACAUUACUUAGCUAUUGUUCAGGAAGGGGCAUCACUUCCCAUCAGUCUAAACUGA
rnacentral:lncRNA from 1 species